GGCUACUGGCCUAAACUUCCUAAAGACACCAGAUUCCACUUGAUCUUUGAAGCUAAUUAAGAUCAACCAUGGUUAGUCCUUGGAUGGGAGAUUGCCAAUGAAUGCCGGGUACUGUAGACU
rnacentral:rRNA from 1 species